ACAUGCUGCCCUCUAGUGUGCACUCAGUUCAGUAGUGAAGAAAUGGAAAUACUUCCGCAAACUCGUUUUCAAAUUCAUUUAUUACAGUUUUUGUCAUAGAAUUUGUUAUUUUUUAUAUUUUUCUUCAAGGUUAACAUAUAGCCAUUCAUAUACACAAAACAAAAAGGAUUGUAUAAACUCAUUUAAUGUACACGCUCCUUCUUAGCAGUGCAGGAGAGAAUUCAAGAGAUUCUCUGCUUUUCAAACACUUUCACUUUUCUCACGGAUACGCCCAUCAUCUGACUGUGGUGAGAUAUUAGAGACAUUAUUCCAUCUGUGAUCCAGUAUGAGAAACUCCCCCACACAGAGAACGUGAUUGGCGGAGAGAGAGAGAGAGUGGACGUGAUUGGCGGAGAGAGAUGAAGUCAUAUCACAGGAGAAACUGGUUUGAUUAACGGAACAAAAACCAUACAGUGCAUUAAUAAUAGUGACAAAUAUGACAGAAUGAUCUUUGUGUUAUACACCUCAGCGUCUUAUACAAGAUUACACAUUAAGAUGAGAAGAAAUGUUAACUUCACCCGAAAAAAUAACGACAGAAAAUAUCCUUCAAUAUAUUAAAGCAGAAUACACUGAAUAAGUUACGCUUUAAAAUCAUAAAAUGCAGUGCAGAUAUGAAGUUUUGACAGCACGGGAGAUUCUCAGCUGGUGUCGACAAUCACAGGGUGUUCAGUGUUAUCUCCUGAAGCUGAAGCAUCACGUGUGUUUGUGGAGCCCUGAGCGUUUGACACUCGCAAAUCAUCAUCUUCAAACAGCAGAUGAAGCUGCUGACAGCGGUAGGAAGGGCUCAAUCAUGUGCUCACAUAUUUAAUAUCCAGGUGUCGUGUGUGUCCAUAUGCCACCUCAUGAUUAACGUCAUCAUUUCCUUUGAUCUGUGGUGAAACACCUGCUGUCUUCAUCCCGUGAAAACCUGU